rnacentral:rRNA from 1 species
GACAGAGGUCCCGAGCGUUAGGCGGAAUCACUGGGCUUAAAGCGUGUGUAGGCGGAUUUGUAAGUACCUUGUGAAAUCCCACGGCUCAACCGUGGAACUGCUUGGUAUACUGCUUAUCUUAGGCCAUCUAGGGGCUACCGGAACAAGUGGUGGAGCGGUGAAAUGCGUAGAUAUCACUUGGAACGCCAAUGGUGAAAACAGGUAGCUGGGGAUGUGCCGACGCUGAGACACGAAAGCCAGGGGAGCAAACGGG